rnacentral:rRNA from 1 species
UGAGGAAUAUUGGUCAAUGGGCGAAAGCCUGAACCAGCCAUGUCGCGUGAAGGAUGAAGGUCCUAUGGAUUGUAAACUUCUUUUGCAGGAGGGUAAAGUGAGCUACGUGUAGUUCAUUGCAAGUACCCUGCGAAUAAGCAUCGGCUAACUCCGUGCCAGCAGCCGCGGUAAUACGGAGGAUGCGAGCGUUAUCCGGAUUUAUUGGGUUUAAAGGGUGCGUAGGCGGACUAAUUAGUCAGCGGUGAAAUUUUGCGGCUCAACCGUAAAACUGCCGUUGAAACUGUUAGUCUUGAGUGCGGUAGAGGUAGGCGGAAUGUGUGGUGUAGCGGUGAAAUGCUUAGAUAUCACACAGAACACCGAUUGCGUAGGCAGCUUACUGGAGCGCAACUGACGCUGAGGCACGAAAGCGUGGGGAUCGAACAGG